rnacentral:rRNA from 1 species
UCCGUAGGUGAACCUGCGGAAGGAUCAUUAAUGAUUGACCGAAAGGUCUUAUCUUAACAUCCCUCACCUCUGUGAACCGUUUGACCUCCGGGUCUAACAAACUAUACAAACAUCAGUGUAAUGAACGUCUUGUUAUCUUAACAAAAACAAAACUUUUAACAACGGAUCUCUUGGCUCUCGCAUCGAUGAAGAACGCAGCGAAAUGCGAUAAGUAAUGUGAAUUGCAGAAUUCAGUGAAUCAUCGAAUCUUUGAACGCACCUUGCGCCUUUUGGUAUUCCGAAAGGCAUGCCUGUUUGAGUGUCAUGAAAUCUCAACCCCAUCUGGUUUAUGAUCAGUUGGGGCUUGGACUUGGGCGUCUGCCGGUUACACGGCUCGCCUCAAAUGACUUAGUGGGAUCGCUAGCAUCCGUGACAGACGUAAUAAGUUUCGUCUUGUCCCUUGCGUGCGUCAAGCCUGCUCAGAACACCGCUUGCCUCUGUGCAACACUUUUUUGACUCUGACCUCAAAUCAGGUAGGACUACCCGCUGAACUUAAGCAUAUCAAUAAGCGGAGGA